ACAGGCAUGGCCCACUGUGCCUGGCGUGGUGCUUAACUGUUCUCUAGACUGCUAACUUCCUUACCUAAGGCCAGGAGGGAAGACUGGCUCUUGGUUUUGGUACCAUUGAAGGACAGCUUACAGUAGGCACUAGAGGUUGGUCUGUGGUCUCCCAGCAGGUAGCCAGUGAGGCAGCCACUGUGCCCAGGACCCACCCGUGCUCUCAGUGCAGUGAGACUUUCCCAUCAGCGGCUACCUUGGAGGCCCACAAGAGAGGUCAUAUAGGUGGGUAGCAGGGAGGUGAAGGGGGUCCAUGGGUAGGGUGGUCUGUGGGCUGCCAGCUGGUGGGCUUGUGGGUGGUGAAAAUGCCCUGACAUUGGGUACGGCUUCAGGGCCGAGGCCAUUCACCUGCACACAGUGUGGCAAGGCCUUCCCCAAAGCCUACCUGCUCAAGAAGCACCAGGAGGUGCAUGUGCACGAGCGCCGCUUCCGUUGUGGAGACUGUGGGAAGCUUUAUAAGACCAUUGCCCAUGUGCGGGGCCACCGGCGUGUCCACUCCGACGAGAGGCCUUUCCCUUGUCCCCAGUGUGGCAAGCGUUACAAGACCAAGAAUGCCCAGCAAGUGCACUUCCGGACACAUUUGGAAGAAAAGCCCCACGUGUGCCAGUUCUGCAGCCGAGGCUUCCGGGAGAAGGGCUCUCUAGUGCGGCAUGUGAGGCACCAC
rnacentral:lncRNA from 1 species